GGCGCAAGCCUGAUCCAGCAAUGCCGCGUGCAGGAUGAAGGCCUUCGGGUUGUAAACUGCUUUUGUACGGAACGAAAAGCCCUGGGUUAAUACCCUGGGGUCAUGACGGUACCGUAAGAAUAAGCACCGGCUAACUACGUGCCAGCAGCCGCGGUAAUACGUAGGGUGCGAGCGUUAAUCGGAAUUACUGGGCGUAAAGCGUGCGCAGGCGGUUUUGUAAGACAGUGGUGAAAUCCCCGGGCUCAACCUGGGAACUGCCAUUGUGACUGCAAGGCUAGAGUGCGGCAGAGGGGGAUGGAAUUCCGCGUGUAGCAGUGAAAUGCGUAGAUAUGCGGAGGAACACCGAUGGCGAAGGCAAUCCCCUGGGCCUGUACUGACGCUCAUGCACGAAAGCGUGGGGAGCAAACAGGAUUAGAUACCCUGGUAGUCCACGCCCUAAACGAUGUCAACUGGUUGUUGGGUCUUAACUGACUCAGUAACGAAGCUAACGCGUGAAGUUGACCGCCUGGGG
rnacentral:rRNA from 1 species